rnacentral:rRNA from 1 species
AUUGAACGCUGGCGGCAUGCCUUACACAUGCAAGUCGAACGGCAGCACGGGAGCUUGCUCCUGGUGGCGAGUGGCGAACGGGUGAGUAAUGCAUCGGAACGUGCCCUGAAGUGGGGGAUAACGUAGCGAAAGUUACGCUAAUACCGCAUAUUCUGUGAGCAGGAAAGCAGGGGAUCUUCGGACCUUGCGCUUUUGGAGCGGCCGAUGUCGGAUUAGCUAGUUGGUGGGGUAAAGGCCCACCAAGGCGACGAUCCGUAGCGGGUCUGAGAGGAUGAUCCGCCACACUGGAACUGAGACACGGCCCAGACUCCUACGGGAGGCAGCAGUGGGGAAUUUUGGACAAUGGGCGCAAGCCUGAUCCAGCCAUGCCGCGUGAGUGAAGAAGGCCUCGGUUGUAAGCUCUUCGUGGAGAAU